GGUCGAUUGGCGCAGUUGGUUAGCGCGCUUCCUUGACAUGGAAGAGGCCAGGGGUUCGAGUCCCUUAUCGACCA
rnacentral:tRNA from 1 species